rnacentral:rRNA from 1 species
GAUGAACGCUGGCGGCGUGCCUAAUACAUGCAAGUCGAGCGAACAGACGAGGAGCUUGCUCCUCUGACGUUAGCGGCGGACGGGUGAGUAACACGUGGAUAACCUACCUAUAAGACUGGGAUAACUUCGGGAAACCGGAGCUAAUACCGGAUAAUAUAUUGAACCGCAUGGUUCAAUAGUGAAAGACGGUUUUGCUGUCACUUAUAGAUGGAUCCGCGCCGCAUUAGCUAGUUGGUAAGGUAACGGCUUACCAAGGCAACGAUGCGUAGCCGACCUGAGAGGGUGAUCAGCCACACUGGAACUGAGACACGGUCCAGACUCCUACGGGAGGCAGCAGUAGGGAAUCUUCCGCAAUAGGCGAAAGCCUGACGGAGCAACGCCGCGUGAGUGAUGAAGGUCUUCGGAUCGUAAAACUCUGUUAUUAGGGAAGAACAAAUGUGUAAGUAACUAUGCACGUCUUGACGGUACCUAAUCAGAAAGCCACGGCUAACUACGUG